rnacentral:misc_RNA from 1 species
UUUCCGUAGGUGAACCUGCGGAAGGAUCAUUAUUGUAUAACCGAGGUACGAGGGCUUUCGCUUAUCCAAAACUUCGUUCACGGCCGAGUGCGCUCACACACAUCCAUCUCACCCCUAUUUACACCACCGCGUGGGUCCCCCUUUCGCUUGUCUGAAGCGAGGUUUACGUUUUUACACAAACUUUAUAUGAAGUGCAAAAUGGAUUUUUUGUUUUUUCGAACACGCAAUCAAUACAACUGUCAAGAACAGAUCACUUGGCUCUCGUAGUGAUGAAGAACG